rnacentral:lncRNA from 1 species
AAAACUUUAACCUGAAGCCGGACAGAAGGACGGACGAACGAACGAACGGAAGAACAGACUAGAAAACAUAAUUCCCAUAAAUGGGGCAUAAAAAUUUAUUGUUGAAACUGAAAGUAGUGAUUUGGCCAAAAUGAAAGUAGGGUAGAGAUUAGAGGGAGGCAGGACUUAUUCGGGACGUCGGGAUCGUGUGCUUUUAAGCUCGGGAUUUCGGGAUUGAUCUUUAAGGAUUGCGGGAAUAUUUAUUUUUUUUAAUUUCGGGAUGUCGGGAUAUGAAUUUCGUUAAAAUACGCACCUCGGGAUUUCAUGUUUUUAAGCCCGGGAUUUCGGGAUCAGGGCCCUCAGACCACCAUUCAAAUGAGCCUUAGUCAUUUAUACGAGAUUCAAAUCAUACCAUUGGCAUGUUAAUAGGGCUCUCAAAAGGAAAAGCACUGAUGGAUUGUCCUAGAAGCACAUUUUAUUAGAAUAAUAAUGGUCUAUAAGCAGUUUCAUUUAUUUCAUGUUUGAAGCGGUGCAAAUUUUUAAUUUAAUUUGACUUUUACCAAAAAAUGUAUUGUAGCAAAGGGGAAGAAUAAUUGUGGUAUAAGGCCAGAAA